GUGUCAGCAGCCGCGGUAAUACUGAGGUCCCAAGCGUUGUUCGGAAUUACUGGGCGUAAAGGGUCCGUAGGCGUCUUGACAAGUUGAUCGUUAAAUCCACCGGCUCAACCGGUGAUCUGCGGUCAAAACUGGCAGGAUAGAAUAUGUGAGAGGAAAGUAGAAUUCCUGGUGUAGCGGUGACAUGCGUAGAUAUCAGGAGGAACACCAAUGGCGAAGGCAGCUUUCUGGCACAAUAUUGACGCUGAGGGACGAAAGCGUGGGGAGCGAACAGGAUUAGAUACCCUGGUAGUCCACGCCGUAAACGAUGAGUACUUGGUGGUGGGAGAUUCGACCCUCUCACUAUCGGAGCUAACGCGUUAAGUACUCCGCCUGGGGACUACGGCCGCAAGGCUGAA
rnacentral:rRNA from 1 species